rnacentral:misc_RNA from 1 species
UAAACCCUCCAAAUAAGCUUCUCCACGUUUACAAUUUGUACAAAUUCUUUUGGGAUGCUCUGCGUUAAAUGUCUCACAUACAGUGCUAUUGAACAAAACUAUCAUUUAUUUGGUAACGAAAGUAUUCAGUAGGUUAAUACUAAUAUCAAAUCUCGUCACAUUCAGUUCGCAUUCGUUUUUACUUUCAUAAAAUAUAAAUUAUCAUAAAAAGUCGGCUUACGAAUGAGAUUUGUCUUUUAUCAAUAGUGAUCAGUCUUGCGGUAAUCGGUAAAUAAUCAAUUAAAAUAGGAACGCAAAGUAAAUGCAACAGAUGGCGGGGGCUCCACUACUGUGACUAGCUACAGGGUGUACGCAGCGUGCGAGAGGAACAGAUGGACAUCAUUAGUUAUGUAUAUCGGAGACAGCCAUUUAUUCACAACGAAAAAGAAAGUUUAGCGCGGCGUCCUAAGGUUGGCAGCACUGACGCGCUAAGUGGUCAAGACGGCGAGACGUCAACACGUCGCACGAUUAUAUAGAAAUUUGUGAAAAUGAUUAAAUCGAAGAUAGAUUAGGUCGUCGUUUCUUUGCUCCGUUAUCCCACUGUUCUGUUAUCUGCAUGGUGUUUGACGAUAGUUAGGAUAACGCUGUCGUCGACAUAUAUAUUAUAAAUCAAUCAGUUCUUUUGCUCAUUCGAAGUUGUUACUAAGUAAAAAAGUCCAAUCAAAUUACACUAUUAACAAUAUUAUGUUAGAUGUUCUCUUUUACGCUAUAAGCAUUGAAAAAUAGAAUUUUAAUUUAGUUGUUAGGUAGUUGCAGAUUUGGAACCAGCUUUAAAUCAUAUUUACUAAAAUUAUAUAUCAGAGUAGACGUUAUAAGAGAACUGAAAGAUUUAUACAGUAGUCUGCAAGCUGCAUACACCGAUACGAUAUAAUCUAUAAACUAUUUUUGUACAUUCCAUUUGAACUUACUCCAUUUUACUCUUUCACGUCAAAUCUUCCAACGAACGAUUAAUUAACAGUAAAUAUAUACUAGUGAUAUCAUAUUAAGGCUUGACGGAUCAUGUUCAAACUUGACCUUGGUCCUUCGAGCCGGAUCGAGUCUACGCUGUAUAAUAAGUAGAAAUCUUACUUUUACUUCGGCGAGUAUGUUCUAAAACCGCCUCUCAUGUAUAUUAUCUUUCUUUGUAUAAAAGUAUCAAACAGUAUAAUAUUACGAAGUGUUGUAUAUCAAUCGAGUUGCAAAAUAGUAAGUUGUAUGUUUGCGUCGGUUUUUUG